rnacentral:rRNA from 1 species
AUACGGAGGGUGCGAGCGUUAAUCGGAAUUACUGGGCGUAAAGCGUGCGUAGGCGGUUUGCUAAGUCAGAUGUGAAAGCCCCGGGCUUAACCUGGGGACUGCAUUUGAUACUGGCAGACUAGAGUAUGAUAGAGGGGGGUAGAAUUCCUGGUGUAGCGGUGAAAUGCGUAGAUAUCAGGAGGAAUACCAGUGGCGAAGGCGGCCCCCUGGAUCAAUACUGACGCUGAGGUACGAAAGCGUGGGGAGCGAACAGGAUUAGAUACCCUAGUAGUCC